GAUGAACGCUGACAGAAUGCUUAACACAUGCAAGUCAACUUGAACUUCGGUUUGGGUGGCGGACGGGUGAGUAACGCGUAAAGAACUUGCCUCACAGCUAGGGACAACAUUUGGAGACGAAUGCUAAUACCUGAUAUUAUGAUUAUAUGGCAUCGUAUAAUUAUGAAAGCUAUAUGCGCUGUGAGAGAGCUUUGCGUCCCAUUAGCUAGUUGGAGAGGUAACAGCUCACCAAGGCGAUGAUGGGUAGCCGGCCUGAGAGGGUGAUCGGCCACAAGGGGACUGAGACACGGCCCUUACUCCUACGGGAGGCAGCAGUGGGGAAUAUUGGACAAUGGACCGAGAGUCUGAUCCAGCAAUUCGGUGUGCACGAUGAAGUUUUUCGGAAUGUAAAGUGCUUUCAGUUGGGAAGAAAAAAAUGACGGUACCAACAGAAGAAGUGACGGCUAAAUACGUG
rnacentral:rRNA from 1 species